GUAGGUGGCAAGCGUUGUCCGGAAUUAUUGGGCGUAAAGCGCGCGCAGGCGGUUCUUUAAGUCUGAUGUGAAAGCCCACGGCUCAACCGUGGAGGGUCAUUGGAAACUGGAGAACUUGAGUACAGAAGAGGAAAGCGGAAUUCCACGUGUAGCGGUGAAAUGCGUAGAGAUGUGGAGGAACACCAGUGGCGAAGGCGGCUUUCUGGUCUGUAACUGACGCUGAGGCGCGAAAGCGUGGGGAGCAAACAGGGAUUAGAUACCCUGGUAGUCCACGCCGUAAACGAUGAGUGCUAAGUGUUAGGGGGUUUCCCGCCCCCUUAGUGCUGCAGCUAACGCAUUAAGCACUCCGCCUGGGGAGUACGGCCCGCAAGGCUG
rnacentral:rRNA from 1 species